CUUCUAUCGUGGAUCCCUACAAGACGGAGGUCAUGGAUAACUCGUCAAACCCCUUCGUCUGUCAUAUGUCAAAAUUUAUUCGACUUAAGCUCGAGAGUGGAAAACUCUUUCUCCACUGUGCAUACUGCCCCGGCCGAGGUCUUACGAACUCAGUCUUAUAAAUCACAUAGGAUCUUUCCUUAUCUAUCAAGGUCGAUAGAUU
rnacentral:lncRNA from 1 species